AAAGAAGGAGGGAGGCAUGCCUAACACAUGCAAGUCGAACGAGACCUUCGGGUCUAGUGGCGCACGGGUGCGUAACGCGUGGGAACCUGCCCUUAGGUUCGGAAUAACUCCCCGAAAGGGGUGCUAAUACCGGAUAAUGUCUUCGGACCAAAGAUUUAUCGCCUUUGGAUGGGCCCGCGUUGGAUUAGCUAGUUGGUAGGGUAAAAGCCUACCAAGGCGACGAUCCAUAGCUGGUCUGAGAGGAUGAUCAGCCACACUGGGACUGAGACACGGCCCAGACUCCUACGGGAGGCAGCAGUGGGGAAUAUUGGACAAUGGGCGAAAGCCUGAUCCAGCAAUGCCGCGUGAGUGAUGAAGGCCUUAGGGUUGUAAAGCUCUUUUACCCGGGUUGAUAAUGACAGUACCGGGAGAAUAAGCUCCGGCUAACUCCGUG
rnacentral:rRNA from 1 species